AACGCGAAGAACCUUACCAGGCCUUGACAUGGGUAGUAUGAUCUCCAGAAACGGAGAUCUUCAGUUUGGCUGGCUACCACACAGGUGCUGCAUGGCUGUCGUCAGCUCGUGUCGUGAGAUGUUGGGUUAAGUCCCGCAACGAGCGCAACCCUCAUCCUUAGUUGCCAUCAGGUAAUGCUGGGAACUCUAAGGAAACUGCCGGUGAUAAGCCGGAGGAAGGUGGGGAUGACGUCAAGUCUUCAUGGCCCUUACGGCCUGGGCUACACACGUGCUACAAUGGCGGUGACAAUGGGCAGCCAACCCGCAAGGGUGCGCUAAUCUCAAAAAGCCGUCUCAGUUCGGAUUGCACUCUGCAACUCGAGUGCAUGAAGCUGGAAUCGCUAGUAAUCGUAGAUCAGCAUGCUACGGUGAAUACGUUCCCGGGCCUUGUACACACCGAGUAUA
rnacentral:rRNA from 1 species